rnacentral:rRNA from 1 species
GGAGGGUGCAAGCGUUGUUCGGAAUUACUGGGCGUAAAGAGCGUGUAGGCGGCUGAUCAAGUCCGGUGUGAAAGCCCGGGGCUUACCCCCGGAAGUGCGCUGGAAACUGGUCGACUAGAGUAUGGGAGAGGGAAGUGGAAUUCCUGGUGUAGCGGUGAAAUGCGUAGAUAUCAGGAGGAACACCGGCGGCGAAGGCGGCUUCCUGGACCAAUACUGACGCUGAGACGCGAAAGCGUGGGGAGCAAACAGGAUUAGAUACCCUGGUAGUCCACGCCGUAAACGAUGGGCACUAGAUGCCGCGGGUAUUGACCCCUGCGGUGUCGUAGCUAACGCGUUAAGUGCCCCGCCUGGGGAGUACGGUCGCAAGAUUA